ACGGGAGGCAGCAGUGGGGAAUAUUGGACAAUGGAGGAAACUCUGAUCCAGCGACGCCGCGUGAGUGAAGAAGUAUUUCGGUAUGUAAAGCUCUAUCGGCAGGGAAGAUAAUGACGGUACCUGACUAAGAAGCCCCGGCUAACUACGUGCCAGCAGCCGCGGUAAUACGUAGGGGGCAAGCGUUAUCCGGAUUUACUGGGUGUAAAGGGAGCGUAGACGGUAUGGCAAGUCUGAUGUGAAAACCCGGGGCUCAACCCCGGGACUGCAUUGGAAACUGUCAAACUAGAGUGCAGGAGAGGUAAGUGGAAUUCCUAGUGUAGCGGUGAAAUGCGUAGAUAUUAGGAGGAACACCAGUGGCGAAGGCGGCUUACUGGACUGUAACUGACGUUGAGGCUCGAAAGCGUGGGGAGCAAACAGGAUUAGAUACCCUGGUA
rnacentral:rRNA from 1 species